rnacentral:rRNA from 1 species
AGAGUUUGAUCAUGGCUCAGGAUGAACGCUAGCGGCAGGCUUAACACAUGCAAGUCGAGGGGUAUUGGUUUUCGGACCAAGAGACCGGCGCACGGGUGCGUAACGCGUAUGCAAUCUACCUUUUACAGAGGGAUAGCCCAGAGAAAUUUGGAUUAAUACCUCAUAGCAUAGCAACUUCGCAUGAAGUCACUAUUAAAGUCACAACGGUAAAAGAUGAGCAUGCGUCCCAUUAGCUAGUUGGUAAGGUAACGGCUUACCAAGGCAACGAUGGGUAGGGGUCCUGAGAGGGAGAUCCCCCACACUGGUACUGAGACACGGACCAGACUCCUACGGGAGGCAGCAGUGAGGAAUAUUGGUCAAUGGACGCAAGUCUGAACCAGCCAUGCCGCGUGCAGGAUGACGGUCCUAUGGAUUGUAAACUGCUUUUGUACGAGAAGAAACAACAUUACGUGUAAUGUCUUGACGGUAUCGUAAGAAUAAGGAUCGGCUAACUCCGUGCCAGCAGCCGCGGUAAUACGGAGGAUCCAAGCGUUAUCCGGAAUCAUUGGGUUUAAAGGGUCCGUAGGCGGUUUAGUAAGUCAGUGGUGAAAGCCCAUCGCUCAACGGUGGAACGGCCAUUGAUACUGCUAGACUUGAAUUAUUAGGAAGUAACUAGAAUAUGUAGUGUAGCGGUGAAAUGCUUAGAGAUUACAUGGAAUACCAAUUGCGAAGGCAGGUUACUACUAAUUGAUUGACGCUGAUGGACGAAAGCGUGGGUAGCGAACAGGAUUAGAUACCCUGAUAGUCCACGCCCUAAACGAUGUCUACUAGUUGUUGGGAGAGUAAAAUCUCUUAGUAACGCAGCUAACGCGUGAAGUAGACCGCCUGGGGAGUACGGUCGCAGAUUAAACUCAAAGGAUG